rnacentral:rRNA from 1 species
GAGCCUUGAUGUGUAGGAUAGGUGGGAGGCUUUGAAGUGUGGACGCCAGUCUGCAUGGAGCCGACCUUGAAAUACCACCCUUUAAUGUUUGAUGUUCUAACGUUGACCCGUGAUCCGGGUUGCGGACAGUGUCUGGUGGGUAGUUUGACUGGGGCGGUCUCCUCCUAAAGAGUAACGGAGGAGCACGAAGGUUGGCUAAUCCUGGUC